rnacentral:lncRNA from 1 species
UUAUUAGUGAUUCUCCAUAAAUAUGCAUAAAGAAUAGAAAUAUAACAAUUAAUAAUAAGGGUAUUAUAGGUAAAUUAUUAUAAAAAAAUAAACCAUUUAAGGUAAGUAGACAUUUAACUUGGGACUGCCUGAAAUAGUAAUAAAGAUUUUUAUCUCGGGAUGGAAGGAGUAUUUGAUAAAGUUAGAUUGUAAUCAAUGUCCGCCGAAAACUUUCACAAUGUAUACCAAG